GACGAACGCUGGCGGCGUGCUUAACACAUGCAAGUCGAGCGGAAAGGCCACUUCGGUGGUACUCGAGCGGCGAACGGGUGAGUAACACGUGAGUAAUCUGCCCCUGGCUUUGGGAUAGCCACCGGAAACGGUGAUUAAUACCGGAUACGACCACUUCUCGCAUGGGAUGGGGGUGGAAAGUUUUUUCGGCCAGGGAUGUGCUCGCGGCCUAUCAGCUUGAUGGUGAGGUAAUGGCUCGCCAUGGCUUGGACGGGUAGCCGGCCUGAGAGGGUGACCGGUCACACUGGGACUGAGACGCGGCCCAGACUCCUACGGGAGGCAGCAGUGGGGAAUAUUGGACAAUGGGCGGAAGCCUGAUCCAGCAACGCCGCGUGAGGGAUGACGGCCUUCGGGUUGUAAACCUCUUUCAGCAGGGACGAAGCGCAAGUGACGGUACCUGCAGAAGAAGCACCGGCCAACUACGUGCCAGCCGCCGCCGUAA
rnacentral:rRNA from 1 species